CAACUACUCCAUCUGUCCCAAAUUUCUUGUCUUAGAUUUGUCUAGAUACAGAUGUAUCUAAUACUAAAAUGUGACUUGAUACAUCCAUAUCUAGACAAAUCUAAGACAAGAAUUUUGGGACGGAGGGAGUACUUU
rnacentral:pre_miRNA from 1 species